rnacentral:rRNA from 1 species
UACGAAGGGUGCAAGCGUUAUCCGGAUUCAUUGGGUUUAAAGGGUGCGUAGGUGGGCAAGUAAGUCAGUGGUGAAAUCUCCGGGCUUAACCCGGAAACUGCCAUUGAUACUAUUUGUCUUGAAUACUGUGGAGGUCAGCGGAAUAUGUCAUGUAGCGGUGAAAUGCUUAGAUAUGACAUAGAACACCAAUUGCGAAGGCAGCUGGCUACACAAUUAUUGACACUGAGGCACGAAAGCGUGGGGAUCAAACAGG